rnacentral:lncRNA from 1 species
AAAGUCGCGGUUCCGGUGUUCAGGAUGCCAGGGAUGAUGGGAAGCCUGUUCUUGUUUAUCGGUUUGUACGGAACUUCACCCGCGGUAGAGUACGGCCUGAGAAUUUUGUUCCAGCACCGGUGUGAGGAAAACAUCUGAGCCCAUGAAUUGCCAGACCCUGGAUACCUGAGACACAUCCACUUGCUUCUCAGGUUUGGAGUGCAUAAUGAGGAGAAAUAAAAACAGAAAGAUCUCCAGAAAGAAGCCAUGGUAAGAUUCAAGGUUUCACAGUCCAAGCUAAUGCCUGUGGACACUUGACCAAGUGAUCUGAGAAAAUUGGAUUUCUGGCAAAACAAGUGUACCUAGACUCAGGCAAGGGUGGAGAACAGAGGGCGACUAGAUUAAAUGGAAAGAAUGCCCAGGCAUCCCAUUGCCUCCCUUUGACGUUCCAGAACUUCAUCAAGACAGUGAUGAGCUACAUGUACACCUGGAGGAGGACCAUGCAGAAUACCAUCCAGCGCCAUGAACACUAGUCAGUCAGUCAGUAAUGGUGGGCUUCUUGGUGUGCUCCAGCUCAAUUUUCUCAUGUUUGAUGAUUAGUUCAGGAUCAAGCUCAGAAGCGCACAGCUGCCAGCAAGCAGUCUACUACUGAACUGCACCAUCUCUCCAGCCUGUGCUUACUCUUGAAUAGCCCCAAAGUAGUCAAUGGGCUAUUUGGUACUGGACAACCAAUUGGAGUGUUGUUUGCGGGGGAGGACCACCUCUCCAGGUAGAAUCUAAACAUCAGAAAAUCAACAACCCAGUUAAAAUAAUCUAGAGCACUAACCAGAGCGUUCUCAGAAGAAGCACUACAAACGGCUAAGAAACACGAGACUGCUCAACAUCCUUUGCCAUCAGGGAAACACAGAAGCUCACUUUUCAGUUUUCAUCUUUCUGGAGUCAGAAUGGUUAUCGUCAAGAAUGCCAGUGACAUGGAUGUAGAGGACGGAUUCCUUCAUUGUCUAAGUCUCUGGAAAUAGUGCAGAAGAGUAGUCAGGGACUAAAAGAUGGAAGACAGAAAGGGCUGCAAAGUUCCAUCCUAGAGACUCAAUACAGCCAUUGCAAUGAUGAACUCACAAAAACUGCAUUUACCUGAACUUAGCCUGCUCAAGACAUUGAAAGUGUUUCAAAGUAGCUUUUCCUGUUGUGAAUGUACCUCUCAGCUAGUCUGGUUUCUGGUUCAGAGCUCUUAGGCACAGAGUUGUCUUGAACAUUUGCUUACAGGCACUUGUGUAGAUAUCAGCUGCUUUUUUUUGUUAAAUCUCUGAAAUAAAUGCCUAGGCGUUCAAUGGCAAUGUUAUAUCAGUAUGUAUUUAGCUUAGUUUUAAAAUAAGAAACUGUCAAAUACUUUUGUAGAAUUACUGGACCAUUUUACACCCCUGCCAACAAAGUAAGAUUGAUCCAGCUCCCCACAUUCUCAUAAACAUUUGUUUUUGUUUCUUUAAGAAGACAAGUUAACCAUUCCAUUUAUUGAGAAUUUACUUACCAUUCAGUGCAUUGCUUAGAUAUGUAGUAUUCAGUUUUUAGUACACAUACAAGGUUGUGUAUCGAUUACUACUAAUUCCAGAACAUUUCCAUUACCAUAGAAAAAGAAACCCAAUAUUCAUUUUCAUCUCUCCUCUAUGGACUUACCUAAUCUAGAUAUACCAAAUAAAUGGAAUUUUUAUAAAAUAUGACCUUUUGUUUGGCUUCUUUCAUUUAGAAUAGAAUUUCAAGGUUUCUCCAUGUUCUACCAGCCUUCAAAUUAAUUUCAGUUGUUGUGCUUUCAGGUUUCAGAAUUUCUUUUCAUUUUCUGUUUAUAAUUUCAAAAUUAUUGUUUAAUAUCUAUUUAAUAAAACAGGUGUUUUGAAAUAUAU